rnacentral:rRNA from 1 species
GUGGGGAAUUUUGGACAAUGGGCGCAAGCCUGAUCCAGCAAUGCCGCGUGCAGGAAGAAGGCCUUCGGGUUGUAAACUGCUUUUGUACGGAACGAAACGGUCCGGGUUAAUACCCUGGGCUAAUGACGGUACCGUAAGAAUAAGCACCGGCUAACUACGUGCCAGCAGCCGCGGUAAUACGUAGGGUGCAAGCGUUAAUCGGAAUUACUGGUCGUAAAGCGUGCGAAGGCGGUUUUGUAAGACAGGCGUGAAAUCCCCGGGCUCAACCUGGGAAUUGCGCUUGUGACUGCAAGGCUGGAGUGCGGCAGAGGGGGAUGGAAUUCCGCGUGUAGCAGUGAAAUGCGUAGAUAUGCGGAGGAACACCGAUGGCGAAGGCAAUCCCCUGGGCCUGCACUGACGCUCAUGCACGAAAGCGUGGGGAGCAAACAGGAUUAGAUACCCGGGUAGUCC